rnacentral:lncRNA from 15 species
GAGCUCCGGCUGCAGUCUACAUCUAUACGCGGAAGAGCCGGUACCGAACGAUGUAUACGGAGACAGAGAGACAGAGAGAGACAGAGUUCGUGUACACUGAUUUAUCCCGGCUUUUACACCAUCGUGCACAUUUACCAUCUCCAGGGAAUGAGGUGCACAUUUUAUUCAUUUCUGCUCAGAUAUUUGGUUUAUACCAUCUACGGCUGAAAAGAAGACCUUUUAGCCCCAUCUGCAGUAAUGAAUUACCCAGAAAGAGGCAGAUGGUUCCAUUCGCUCAUACCCCAAUAAGGAGGAAACACAAACAAAGCAAAUAUUAACUGUGAGAGAUGCGUCAAAAUAGUUUCAGAGACGAGUAUUAGGAGAAAUACUUUUCUUACAUUAAAGAAAGCUGGAAGAUGGAAACACUGGUUGAAAUUCAAAGGUGGAGUAAAUAGAGUAAAUUGAAGGAAUUAUUCACAAAUCCACCCCAAAUCAUUCAUUUAUUCAUCUCGUUUGACCUUAUUCAGCCAGUACACUGUAAAUAAGCUGCUAAUUCAUAAUAAACAGUUCAUAAUAAACCCUUGCAGUGAUUAACUUUUCAAUUAUCCUGUGAAUAGCUGGAGGAGUGCAGGCUUUUAUUGAUGAAGUCUAAUGGCUUUCAGCCUCUGUGUCUGUCCUCGCUGUGCUGGUCUCCAGUGUCCCCCCCCACAGCUGGACACUUGGCCCCUACCAGUGGUGUUACCUUACCAGCAGAUGGUGGCUGGUGGUCCCUGGGGUAGGGGGGGCCACCAGCAGCAUCCCAACCCCCUCUGAGUCUUCCACCAACCCCACAGAACAGCCAAUCAGAGACAGCGCAGCCUGUAGUCAAUCUAAUGGUGAGAUGGAGACACACACACUUCUUCUUUGCUCGUUAUGUACCGUUAUGUACCUUUUCCACUUUUGAAUUUAACUGCAACACACAGGCUCUACAUAAAUCCCUAAAGACAUUUCUUCAUUUGUUCUGUUGUACUUUCCUCAUACGUAUGCUUUCCACUCUGAAAUAUCCUAUGUCUUGAAUAUUUUCAUCGAAAACAGAUAGAAAGAAUGCACAGUAAGUAAAACACCAGCACAACCAAACAAGAUAUGCACUUAUGUAGGUUUAGCAGACUCACUAUGAGUGAAUGUCUAUAUUAGACUAUAGUGCAGUGUCACCAACCUUAUCCCAAAGUAUAAGAUAAGAGCUGUCAUUCUGAAAUACUAGGAUAUGUAUAUAGAAUAUGUUGACCAUGAACUAUAACAGAGUUGCACACAGACACCUUUGCCACUGCAUUUGUGUGUUUGACACAAGAGCAGCAGUAAGUGUUCAAUUCACUUGGAAGGUUGGAUGGUUCAAACAAACUCAGGAGACCAGUUCAUUUCCAGUGUGAAACGAAACAUAAACCAUUUCUUUUCAGUAGAGUACAUAAGUUAACUUACAUAACGUACUUAAGUUACGUCAGGUACGUUACAUAAGUCAUGUUUUAUUCAUGUACUUAAAGUACGUCAGCUACUUAACGUAACUUACGAUCUUUUCCUAAACCCAAUCAAGUAGUUUUGAGGCCUUGGCCUAAGAAAGCAGGGUUUGUGCCUUAACUGCAAUGUUAACCACACAAGCUUUACUUUGAAAGUCUAACUGAACGUUAUUUUUGCUAACUGGACCUUGGAGCCCUGUGUGUCCAGAAAUGACACAAAAGAUCACCUACAGUGUCAUAUUUGACCAAUCUGCAGUAUUUGACGAGUUGGGAGUGAGAUUGUUUUGACAAAGACACACAUAUGCAUAGUGCUAGUACAUGUGCUCACACACUGAGCUAUGGCCACCCCCUUUAACUAAGGAACAUGUAUUAGCUUUGUAAAAAGAUCAUAGACAUAGAUUGUGAAGAAGAAGAAAUCUCUCUUCCACAAAUAAAAAGGAGCAUAAAGGUCACCUCAGGUAUCUGUACUCCUCACAGCACUCCUGUAACACACACAUAAAGUGAAGUCCCUCAGGGCUGUUUGACUCCCGAAGCUCUUUUUAAUGUGUUUCUGAGCCGAGCUGGUCUCGACUUGUCUGCACCACUCGGCUUUUCCUUCAGCAGUGCACAUCCACCUCUAAACAAUGACCACAAAAGAUAAAAACAUCCAUAGUACAACAGUGCUGUCAUAGCGGACCUGUAAAAGUGAUGAACGUACAGAACUGGAACUGCAACAGACACUAUGCCUGCAGCCGCUGCACAAAAAGCACUAAGAGGAAACUCUCAUCUCACACUCCCCUCCACUCUCUCUGUCCAUCCCCUGUGGUCAGAUCAGACCUCACAUAAUUGAAAGGCUUUCUCUGACAGACUGGUCAGACUGACUGGUCAGGGAACAUGUGCAGUAUGUGUGUCUGUAUCUGUGUGUUGCUUUUGAGAGUUUGGGGGUGUCUGAAAGGCAACAUUAGCCUGUUUCAAUCCAAAUGUAUAGCACAUUUUAAAAUAUUUUUUUAGUGAAUUGGAAAAAAUGCAAAUGAAUUCUUGUUUCCAUCUGCUACUGAUAUGCCACUAUUGGGAGUUGGUUCAUGAGAUAAGCAGUAGGUGGCGCUAAUUUUCCAGUAGGAAAAACAGAAGAAGAGGGUGCAAUUAAAAGAGUUCCAGUCGGACCUCAAAUGGUGAUAAACUAUGCAGAAACAGGAUGGAAAUACUACAUAUCUGUUAGUUUCAUGUGUUAACGUGAGGGAGGUUCCAUCAGAUCUGUGCGGAGCUAUCAUGGAUGUGUUGUAGAGCCAUGGACAGGGGUGUGUCCAGACUUUUUUUAGUGGCAAGUGGGGCACUGACUUAUGCCAGGGUGGCAUGCAGUAUGUGUCUCAGCUUUCCAGUCAUUCCCAAUUCAUGCAAUUCCAACAUUGUUUAUGGACCCCAGUAUACAGAAAUAUUCAAAUAGGCAUUUAUACCACAUGCAAAAAACUGCAUGGGAUUAGCUCAUCUUUGCAGAUUUCUUUGUUUCGCCCAAAAGGGUGAAUAAAAAUCAAAAAACAUUCAGGCAUCAACUAUCUGCCAAAUUACUAUUUUAAACAAGAAUUUCCCAAUGGGAGCAUUCCUAAACUGUAUGUUUCAGACUUUGUACUGGUACCGCUCUAACAACAGCUAAACUGAAUGAAAGAAUGCUAUUUGUACAAGACUGCUGGCAAGGCUUUAGAAUUUUAGUUUAUUGCAACUUCAUCUUAUUUAUGUAGUUUUGGCCAUCAUCUGGGAAAACAUUUCUAUUACAAAAUCAGAUGUUGCAAGAAACAGGAGUCAGACAGUCAGACAAGUUGUAAAAAGUUUAAAGAUAUUAUCCAAAACACUUCAUUUGAAAGCCAGU